rnacentral:rRNA from 1 species
UGGCCCUACGGGAGGCAGCAGUGAGGAAUAUUGGUCAAUGGGAGAGAUCCUGAACCAGCCAAGCCGCGUGAGGGAAGACGGCCCUAUGGGUUGUAAACCUCUUUUGUCGGAGAACAAAACCCGGGACGUGUCCCGGACUGCGUGUAUCCAAAGAAAAAGCAUCGGCUAACUCCGUGCCAGCAGCCGCGGUAAUACGGAGGAUGCGAGCGUUAUCCGGAUUUAUUGGGUUUAAAGGGUGCGCAGGCGGGCUGUUAAGCCGGCGGUAAAAAUUCAGGGCUCAACCCUGUCGAGCCGUCGGAACUGGG